rnacentral:rRNA from 1 species
UGACGAGUUUGAUCCUGGCUCAGAUUGAACGCUGGCGGAAUGCUUUACACAUGCAAGUCGAACGGUAGAGGGGGCAACCCCUCGAGAGUGGCGAACGGGUGAGUAAUAUAUCGGAACGUGCCCAGUCGUGGGGGAUAACGUAGCGAAAGUUACGCUAAUACCGCAUACGAUCUAAGGAUGAAAGCGGGGGACUCGCAAGAGCCUCGCGCGAUUGGAGCGGUCGAUAUCAGAUUAGGUAGUUAGGUGGGG